rnacentral:rRNA from 1 species
GACGAACGCUGGCGGCGUGCUUAACACAUGCAAGUCGAGCGAUGAAGCACCUUCGGGUGUGAAUUAGCGGCGAACGGGUGAGGAACACGUGAAGAAUCUGCCUUCAACUCUGGGAUAACUCCGGGAAACCGGGGCUAAUACCGGAUAUGAGCCUUGAUCGCAUGAUCGGGGCUGGAAAGUUUUUCGGUUGAAGAUGACUUCGCGGCCUAUCAGCUUGUUGGUGAGGUAAUGGCUCACCAAGGCGACGACGGGUAGCCGGCCUGAGAGGGCGACCGGCCACACUGGGACUGAGACACGGCCCAGACUCCUACGGGAGGCAGCAGUGGGGAAUAUUGGGCAAUGGAGGAAACUCUGACCCAGCGACGCCGCGUGAGGGAUGAAGGCCUUCGGGUUGUAAACCUCUUUCAGUAGGGAAGAAGCGAAAGUGACGGUACCUACAGAAGAAGCACCGGCUAACUAUGUGCCAGCCGCCGCGGUAA